UUUAGGAAAUAACUGACAGCCUUCAAGCAAUUUAAAAGUUCAGAGGCAUUUUACAACCUCCAAUUUUACUUCAAAACGAAUUGAUUAAAUUAUUCACAAAAUAC